UACGUAGGGUGCGAGCGUUGUCCGGAAUUAUUGGGCGUAAAGGGCUCGUAGGCGGUUUGUCGCGUCGGGAGUGAAAUCCACUGGCUUAACUGGUGGCUUGCUUUCGAUACGGGCAGACUGGAGGUAUGCAGGGGAGAACGGAAUUCCUGGUGUAGCGGUGAAAUGCGCAGAUAUCAGGAGGAACACCGGUGGCGAAGGCGGUUCUCUGGGCAUGUCCUGACCGCUGAGGAGCGAAAGUGUGGGGAGCGAACAGG
rnacentral:rRNA from 1 species